GGUGUGUCGUAAAUAGUGGAUAAUCCGUUAACUGGAGGUAGCCCUGAUGUCGAUCUUCAAGAAAAUGUACUUUUUAUGUCAGGGUUGCCAACACUGUGAAAAUUAUGAAUAUUUUUGUUUUUUCAAAAAAUUCCUACCGCGACUGUAUUUAAAAAAAAAAUACUUAGUUUGUGUAGUUUCUAAAAAGGUAUAACAAUUAGUACUUGACAAGCAAAAUUACUUUGUAUGAGCGAAAGAGCUUAUGACGGUCAGAAAGUUGAUUUUUCACGUAAUGCGUCUAUGUCCGAAUUUAGGCACCUUAACUUAUUAAUAUCAUUUAUUCAAUAAAAAAUGCUAUUGUGUAACGUAAUCUAGCUCA